rnacentral:lncRNA from 1 species
AAUAAAUAGAUAUAUCUAUAAUAACUGUAACAAAUUAGUCAACUUUUCUACAAAAUAUAUAUUUUUAGUUUUGCUAAAAAAAAAAAAAAACGUUCCAAAUAAACAUAUAUUACAAAUCAAUAUAUAGCUUUCUUUUUCAUCACAUAGUAAAAAAUAAAAAAAACAAAAUUUUUCUUUUUUUUUUAUUACUAGCUGCAAACAUAAAAUCCUUUGUAAAUAAUUUAUAUAUGUGUUAAUAUUACUAAAAUAUAAAUUGAAAGAGCUUUAUAUUGCUGACUAAAAAAAGAAAAAAAAUUAUAUCUAUCUAUCUAUCUAUCUAUCUAUUUAUACAUACAUAUGCACGCGUACCAUGGCACAUGUAUCUAAACGAUAUGAAGAAAAUGCUGAGAAUGUUGACGUAGACAAGAAUCGAAAGAAUAUUAAUUACCGCAACCGAAAUGCAAGUAGUAGUUCUUAUUACAAUAAAAAACAAUUUGGCGAUAAAUUAAUAAAAACUAAAAAUGCGAUAACAUCGACAAUCGUGUCAAAGAACAAUGAUCAGAAGGAUGGUAAAGUUAAUAGUGUAGAGGUUGUUGAAGGUAAUGUUAGUAUAUCAUCACACACUGAGUUAAUAAAAGGGUUAACAUUUAGUGAAAAUAAAAACAAAAUAACUGAAUCAAAAGAAAAAGAAAAAGAAAAAGAAAAAAACAUGUUAAAACAAAAAAAACAAGAAAUCAAAGAAUUAGCAAACCUAUGUAUAGAACAAAAAUUAUCUGUAAAUAAUGAAAAUAUUCAAAUAGUACGUAAAUUAAAAGAAAAGCGUAUGUUAGAAGAACGAAUUAAUAAAAAUGAAGAUAUAAAAAAUUUACAGGAUAAAAGAAGAAUAUUAGAAGAAAUAGAAUAUCAUGAAUGGGCUGAUAGAGAAAAAAGAAUAAAAGAGUUGCAAGAAAAAAAAAUGAAGUUAUUAAAAAGAGUGAUGCUACAACGAGAUGCAGAAAAAGCAGAUAAGGUAUUUUAUGAAGUAGAUAAAAUAAUGCAAGAAAGAGAUAAAAAUAAAGAUAAGAUAAUAGAAAAUUUUGAAAAAGAAAAAGCUAAAGAUAUCAAAAAUUUAUUUAUAGAAAGAAAAAAUCUUUUAAAAACUAUUUAUAAUGAAAAAAAUGAUAUAGUUGAUGAUAUUAAUGAUUACACUUCUAAUUAUAAUUUAAAAUUAGAACGAAAUGGAAUUAUACCAAAUAAAAUGGAUUAUAAAAAUGAAAAUAAAAUUGAUAAUAUAUUAAACGAUACGCAUCACAAAUUAAAUGAUUUGAAUAUUACACCAGAUGACAUAUCCCAAAUGAAUGAAACAUGGUUUCUAUCAAAAGAAAAUAAAAAAAAACAAGAUGUAGCUGCAGAAGUUGAAAAAAAACAAAAUAAACAACUUAUUGAUACUAUGUACCGAUUUUUAAAUAAAGGACAAAAAGAACCCAAAUCUGAUGAAUAUUUAGAAACAGAUUUUGAUAGCAAAAGUGAAACAAAAAAAA